GAUGAACGCUGGCGGCGUGCCUAAUACAUGCCAGUCGAGCGAACGGACGAGAAGCUUGCUUCUCUGAUGUUAGCGGCGGACGGGUGAGUAACACGUGGAUAACCUACCUAUAAGACUGGGAUAACUUCGGGAAACCGGAGCUAAUACCGGAUAAUAUUUUGAACCGCAUGGUUCAAAAGUGAAAGACGGUCUUGCUGUCACUUAUAGAUGGAUCCGCGCUGCAUUAGCUAGUUGGUAAGGUAACGGCUUACCAAGGCAACGAUGCAUAGCCGACCUGGGAGGGUGAGCGGCCGCACUGGAACUGGGACAGGGUGCAGACUCCUACGGGAGGCAGCAGUGGGGAAUCGGCCGCAAUGGGCGAAAGCCUGACGGAGCAGCGCCGCGUGGGUGAUGAAGGUCUUCGGGUCGUAAAGCUGUGUUAUUAGGGAAGAACAUAUGUGUAAGUAGCUGUGCACAGCGUGACGGUACCGGAUCAGAAAGCCACGGCUAACUACGUG
rnacentral:rRNA from 1 species